ensembl:lncRNA
GUGACCCCAGUCAUGGGGUCAGUAUGGAGCUCUAUGGGGUGACUAUGGGGCUGUUUUGGGGUCACUAUGGAGCUCUAUGGGGUGACUAUGGGGCUGUUAUGGGGUCACUACAGAGCUCUAUGGGGUCACAUUGGGGCUGUUAUGGGGCCACUAUGGUGCUCUAUGGGGUCUCUAUGGGACAGUUAUGGGGUCACUAUGCGGCUCUAUGAGGUCACUAUGGGGCAGUUAUGGGGUCCCUAUGGGCUCAAUGGGGCUCCAUGGGACUCUAUGGGCUCUGUGGUCCCUAUGGGAUCAAUGGGAUCAGUGGGGCUCUGUGGUCCUUAUGGGGCUCAAUAGGAUCAGUGGGUUCUAUGACUCCUAUGGGAUCAAUAGGGCUCUCUGGACCCUAUGGGCUCCCUGGUCCCAAUGGGCUCUAUAGGAUCAAUGGGGCUCUGUGGUCCCUAUGGGCUCAUUGGGCUCAAUGGGGCUCUGUGGUCCCUAUGGGUUCAAUGGGAUCAAUGGGGCUCUGUGGUCCCUAUGGGAUCAAUGGGAUCAAUGGGGCUCUGUGGUCCCUGUGGGUUAUUUGGGAUCAAUGGGGCUCUGUGGUCCCUAUGGGUUCAAUGGGAUCAAUGGGGCUCUGUGGUCCCUAUGGGAUCAAUGGGGGCUCUGUGGUCCCUAUGGGGCUCUAUAGGACCAAUGGGUUCUAUGACCCCUAUGGGAUAGAUAGGGCUCCCUGAACAUUAUGGGCUCUGUGGUCCCUAUGGGCUCAAUGGGAUCAAUGGGGCUCUGUGGUCCCUAUGGGAUCAAUGGGGUCAGUGGGGCUCUGUGGUCCCUAUGGGUCAAUAGGACCAAUGGGGCUCUGUGGUCCCUAUGGGCUCUAUAGGAUCAAUGGGGCUCUGUGGUCCCUAUGGGCUCAAUGGGGUCAAUGGGGCUCUGUGGUCCCUAUGGGCUCUAUAGGAUCAAUGGGGCUCUGUGCUCCCUAUGGGUCAAUGGGAUCAAUGGGGCUCUGUGCUCCCUAUGGGAUCUAUAGGAUCAGUGGGGCUCUGUGGUCCCUAUGGGUUAUAUGGGGUCAAUGGGGCUCUGUGGUCCCUAUGGGCUCUAUAGGAUCAAUGGGGCUCUGUGCUCCCUAUGGGCUCUAUGGGAUCA